rnacentral:rRNA from 1 species
UGGGGAAUAUUGGACAAUGGGCGAAAGCCUGAUCCAGCAAUGCCGCGUGAGUGAUGAAGGCCUUAGGGUUGUAAAGCUCUUUUACCCGGGAUGAUAAUGACAGUACCGGGAGAAUAAGCCCCGGCUAACUCCGUGCCAGCAGCCGCGGUAAUACGGAGGGGGCUAGCGUUGUUCGGAAUUACUGGGCGUAAAGCGCACGUAGGCGGCUUUGUAAGUUAGAGGUGAAAGCCCAGGGCUUAACCCUGGAAUUGCCUUUAAGACUGCAUCGCUCGAAUUGUGGAGAGGUGAGUGGAAUUCCGAGUGUAGAGGUGAAAUUCGUAGAUAUUCGGAAGAACACCAGUGGCGAAGGCGACUCACUGGACACAUAUUGACGCUGAGGUGCGAAAGCGUGGGGAGCAAACA